UAGGGAAUAUUGGACAAUGGGCGCAAGCCUGAUCCAGCCAUGCCGCGUGAGUGAAGAAGGCCCUCGGGUUGUAAAGCUCUUUUGUCCGGAAAGAAAAGCAUCGGGUUAAUACCCCGGUGUUCUGACGGUACCGGAAGAAUAAGCACCGGCUAACUUCGUGCCAGCAGCCGCGGUAAUACGAAGGGUGCAAGCGUUACUCGGAAUUACUGGGCGUAAAGCGUGCGUAGGUGGUUCGUUAAGUCUGAUGUGAAAGCCCUGGGCUCAACCUGGGAAUGGCAUUGGAAACUGGCGGACUGGAGUGCGGUAGAGGGUAGCGGAAUUCCCGGUGUAGCAGUGAAAGGCGUAGAGAUCGGGAGGAACAUCCGUGGCGAAGGCGGCUACCUGGGCCAGCACUGACACUGAGGCACGAAAGCGUGGGGAGCAAACA
rnacentral:rRNA from 1 species